rnacentral:tRNA from 1 species
GGAGGGGUGUCCGAGCGGUUUAAGGAGGCGGUCUUGAAAACCGUUGUAGGGGUGACUCUACCGUGGGUUCGAAUCCCACUCCCUCCGCCA